UUCAUUGAGCAAUAUAUAGUAAGAUAAUUGGACUUAUACAGUAAGCUCUCAGAAUUUCAUUUGUUUGUUUGCAUGUUUAUUGUUCUUUGACUUGUUGAUAUUCAACAUAGUAUAAGGCAGUGAAAUAGAAAGCUGAUACAUACUUUGUUGUCGUUUACAGUCAAGCAACGCAUUUCAUAGUACAUUGUGUGUAUAUCUUGUGUUUGUAUUGCAUGUUUGUAUUUGUGUUUAACAUUGUGUUGUCCUUGUGUUGUGUAAAUUAAUUUUGUGUAUCAUAUUAUUCUACUUUUAUAUUAUUGUGUGACCUUGACAUUAGUGUACUUUGUGUCUCAGUACAGGUGUACUAGAAUAUAGGUUGACUGUUUACAUAGAAUUUUUUUUUUUUUUUAUUUUAUUUUUUAUUUUUCUUUUAUUUAAACUUUAACUUUGUUUGAUAAAUAGGGAUUUGAUUAGGUUAGGCACUUAGUAUAAUUGUGUGUAUGUGUCUGUGAUUGGUUGUUUGUACUUUGAGAAUGUGAUACCUACCUUUUACGUUACUUACAGCUUAGAUACUAAUCCCUUUUCAUACUUUACUGUUUGGUACUACCUGACACUUAGUUGAUUUAUUGUGAUUGGACAGUUGUACUUUUCGUACUUGAGUUGAUACUUUACUUGGAACUUUAGUCUUUACUGACUUGUGCUUUUGUAAGCUAUUUAAGCAGUUACUUGUUACACUUUACUUGGAGUUGCUUAAAGUUCAGUGUGAUUUAUUUGAAGUUAUAGUAUUACAUUAUAUGUGUUGAGUGUUUAAUAAAAGUACCGAAGCCCUUUUCAGGUGCAGCAGUAUUAGUAUAGUAUUUAUUUUAUGUGUGUGAACAGGUAAGCGAGACAUAUUGUAUUGUGAGUUACACAUUAUAUUUGCGACACAUAGGUUAUAUGUGAGAUAUAACAUUGAGCGAUACAUACAUGGUAUAUUGAGUGAUACAUACAUGGUAUAUUGAGUGAGACAUAUAGGUUAGGUAUAUAUAGAACUUUAGUAUACAUGCUUUAGUUAUAUAUAUUAUUUACUACACUACAUUAUCUAUACAUUUGUUGAUACUUACUAGGUAUAUAUAUAUAUAUUUUUUCUUCUUAUGUUUAUUGAGUAAGGGGAGAUAAUUAAUAUAUUACAUUUAUAUCUUUUGUAGAUUGGUUUGAUUUGAUAUCAAGGGAGAUAAUUCUAAUACACUUUAUUUUUUGUAGAUUGUUACAGUUAGUUUCAUAUUCAGGGGAGGUAAUUCAUUGUAUACAUUUAUUUACUCAGGUAUUAGUUUAGUAUUUCUCCUUGGUAAAGGGAAAUAACUCAUACUAUUUUGCUAUUUUACAUUACAUUUACUGAUUUAUAGUAAGUUUACUUGAUAGUUGUUGACUUCAUU
rnacentral:lncRNA from 1 species